CGAAGGAUGGCGAGGCCUGGGUUUGAAUGAAGUCGUUCGUCCCCGGUUUUCAGACUUCGAUGUGUAAGAAGGCCGCCUUCCCAUCCGCCAACAAUCUGUUUGGGUUAGGGUAGAUAAGAAAACCUAAAGAAGAUCAUGGGAGCAGAAGAAGAGCAGAGGGGAAAGCAAGCAAAUGAGCAGCCAAGGUCUCAUCCCAUAACAGAGACAGAGUUCCUCACCUGGAAACGCCGAAAGGUCUUAUUUUUCCCCUUCUUAAUUCUGUCUCUCUCUUUCUAGGGUUUCUCUUUCUGUGAUGCGUCCAUUUGUCUGUUUUUCUUUGAGUUCAAAUCUAUUUCAAAGAAAUUCUUUUAACUACUGGGAGACUGGGUUGUCCUGUGGUAAUGGAUUCUGAAGAAAGCACUUGAAGUGUUGCGAAGAAAUUAGCCAAUCGAUUCAUUUUUCCUCUAAUAUCCAUUUAUAUGAUUAAGAGUCACUCGAUAGAAUCCUAAUUUAGCAAUUUGCUUUGUGGAAAAUUGAUAUUCGGAAGAUUAAUCGUGAAUAUUUCUGAGAAGAGGAGCACUUUGGUCUUGCAGAGACACAACCUGGGCAUCAUGUACUUUUCCAUGUAUAAUUAUAGCAAUAUCGUAAUAUACUUUGCACUUGCAGGAUGCAGAUGCCUCAGCUAGAAAAGCUGAAGCAGCUAGGAAACGUGCAGAAGAUAUAGCUGCCGGGACGGUGCAAAUGAAUGGGCGGGAGCUGUUCUUGCAUGAGCCGUGGGUGUUUGAUAGCUCUCAAUACUGAAGGUUAGUUUUGGUUCAAGAGCGCAUCAAGCUAUUUUAGAGGCAAAAUAUACAGGCUUAUUCCUUCAACAUUCUUGCUUGUUUGACUUAACAUUCGUCGUUUGGGUCAAAUUUAUGUUGCAUUCAUGUAAUUAACCCAAGAAUUCAAUUGAAUUGAAUUCCAGCAUUCAUGAAUUACAAAUCCUAGUGAUAUCUUUGUCUUCAACAGGUCCCUAAGCUGAAACUGUUGUGGUUGUGACACCAAAACAGAAGAAUAUUAUUGAUCUUUUAUGAGAAAAGAGCUGUUUGUUUUGCUGAUAUCAGUUACAUGAUAGUCUAUAAAUUAAUUGAUUUGUCUUCCUCUUGCUUGUAUAAAUUAUCAAUUGAGUUAUUCAACACUAGUUGUUUAAUGACAUGAUCAACCUGGUGGUAAGCAAUAUGAUUUGAUAUCUUCCCUUGGAAUA
rnacentral:misc_RNA from 1 species